GUGAACGCUGGCGGUAGGCCUAACACAUGCAAGUCGCACGGCAGCACAGUAAGAGCUUGCUCUUACGGGUAGCGAGUGGCGGACGGGUGAGGAAUACAUCGGAAUCUACUUUUUCGUGGGGGAUAACGUAGGGAAACUUACGCUAAUACCGCAUACGACCUACGGGUGAAAGCAGGGGAUCUUCGGACCUUGCGCGAUUGAAUGAGCCGAUGUCGGAUUAGCUAGUUGGCGGGGUAAAGGCCCACCAAGGCGACGAUCCGUAGCUGGUCUGAGAGGAUGAUCAGCCACACUGGAACUGAGACACGGUCCAGACUCCUACGGGAGGCAGCAGUGGGGAAUAUUGGACAAUGGGCGCAAGCCUGAUCCAGCCAUACCGCGUGGGUGAAGAAGGCCUUCGGGUUGUAAAGCCCUUUUGUUGGGAAAGAAAAGCAGCAGGUUAAUACCCCGCUGUUCUGACGGUACCCAAAGAAUAAGCACCGGCUAACUUCGUG
rnacentral:rRNA from 1 species